GGAUGAACGCUGGCGUCGUGCCUAAUACAUGCAAGUCGAGCGAACGGACGAGAAGCUUGCUUCUCUGAUGUUAGCGGCGGACGGGUGAGUAACACGUGGAUAACCUCCCUAUAAGACUGGGAUAACUUCGGGAAACCGUAGCUAAUACCGGAUAAUAUUUUGAACCGCAUGGUUCAAAAGUGAAAGACGGUCUUGCUGUCACUUAUAGAUGGAUCCGCGCUGCAUUAGCUAGUUGGUAAGGUAACGGCUUACUAAGGCAACGAUGCAUAGCCGACCUGAGAGGGUGAUCGGCCACACUGGAACUGAGACACGGUCCAGACCCCUACGGGAGGCAGCAGUAGGGAAUCUUCCGCAAUGGGCGAAAGCCUGACGGAGCAACGCCGCGUGAGUGAUGAAGGUCUUCGGAUCGUAAAACUCUGUUAUUAGGGAAGAACAUAUGUGUAAGUAACUGUGCACAUCUUGACGGUACCCAAUCAGAAAGCCACGGCUAACUACGUG
rnacentral:rRNA from 1 species